rnacentral:rRNA from 1 species
UGGGAAUUUUGGACAAUGGGCGCAAGCCUGAUCCAGCCAUGCCGCGUGCGGGAAGAAGGCCUUCGGGUUGUAAACCGCUUUCGUCAGGGAAGAAAUCCUUUGAGCUAAUACCUCGGGGGGAUGACGGUACCUGAAGAAUAAGCACCGGCUAACUACGUGCCAGCAGCCGCGGUAAUACGUAGGGUGCAAGCGUUAAUCGGAAUUACUGGGCGUAAAGCGUGCGCAGGCGGUUAUGCAAGACAGAUGUGAAAUCCCCGGGCUCAACCUGGGAACUGCAUUUGUGACUGCAUAGCUGGAGUGCGGCAGAGGGGGAUGGAAUUCCGCGUGUAGCAGUGAAAUGCGUAGAUAUGCGGAGGAACACCGAUGGCGAAGGCAAUCCCCUGGGCCUGCACUGACGCUCAUGCACGAAAGCGUGGGGAGCAAACA